CCAUUUAUUGAGCCAUGCCCCAUUUUCCCAUGUAAUAUCGCGCGCGUCUCUUUUUCCAACUGCCACUUUUAUGCCUGUGCCCGUAGAUAUUGAGAUGAAAAUACAGAAAAGUGCUUUUAAUUAAAAAAAAACAACAACAUUUAUUUCCAGGAAGCCAUGAAGAGGAAAAACUUCAAAAGGCACGCAAGGAGCACGUACAGAARCUCAUCCAAGARCURACCAAGCUAUCCAUUGAGGAAGAAGAGAAGACAAGGAAAAGAUACCAGGAAUCGGACGACCCAAAGAAACGAGAUUGUAAAGACUUGAAAGUGAAGUGUCAGAUGAUGAAAUGGAUUAGAGGAUGUGAAAAUGAUGAAAUGAGAGAGAUGUGCAAGGCAACAUGCGGUCUGUGUUAAUACAGAUGCCGGCAACCAUCCAGGAUAAGUUGAAGAUGAUUCGAGCCUAGUAUAUAACUGUUCACUUGUGAAAUAAUCUCCUUCAUGGUUCCCUUUGCCAUCUUGAAAUGUAAAACGGUGCCUUUUUAUCGAACGGAGACGACCGUCUAGACCAUUGAGCGUGCGAUGAUGCAAGUUUUCUAUCGUUGCACACUCAGAGGUCGUCUUCCCUCGAUCAAAGCCACGGCUACCUUUAGUUAGAUUAUGAAAGCGGAACCGUGAAGGAGACUAAUGUUGACAACUGCAUUUUGUGCCUUUAUUGAAUAAACGUCUUUUUCCUGGAAA